rnacentral:rRNA from 1 species
GCUUAUCACCAUUCCAGAUAGAAUAUACCCGAUCUCGUCUGAUCUCGGAAGUCAAGCAAUCUCGGGCUUGG